UAAACGACUCUCGGCAACGGAUAUCUCGGCUCUCGCAUCGAUGAAGAACGUAGCGAAAUGCGAUACUUGGUGUGAAUUGCAGAAUCCCGCGAACCAUCGAGUCUUUGAACGCAAGUUGCGCCCGAAGCCAUUAGGUUGAGGGCACGUCUGCCUGGGCGUCCCGC
rnacentral:rRNA from 1 species